CUACUUCAAACCCUUUCAUACCCCACAGCCCUCAAGUGCACGGUUUCAGAUUUGAAAGCGGCUGCGUUUUAAACACAUUCAUUUUUGGGCAUCGUUCUGGAACAAGGACCUGACCAAAGGUAGUGCCCCCCUGUUCAGACUGCGCUUGUAGAUCUCCUGAUCCGCCCCUCCUGCUCUGCACUGGACUCGCCUGACCUCAGCACCAUGUUACUGGAUCCUCAACUGAUGUGCUAUCCUUGCACUGCUAACAUGUCACUGUAGAUAUAACUUGCUGUAACCCUAACUUGUUGCAUCCUAGUUCAUAUUGUAUUCUAGUAGUGUUAUUAGUUGCACUGACUGUAAACUACACCUGUAUUUAAAUAUGAAGCUUGCAUUGUAACCCUGUGCUGCCCUGUAACACCUGCGUGAGUCGCCUGGGAUAAAGGCGUCUGCCAAGUAAAUAAUAAUAUUAAUUCCAGACGGUUGGCAUGGUGAUGCGUCAGAGGGGCCACGUUUUGAUUGAUCCCUGAAGCCAGCAUUACACUUCAGCCAAGGCUCGCAUUAUAACACAGCAAAGCUAGUCCUUGGUUGGUCUCCACCAUGCCUCUCUCACAAUAUUAGCAUGCAAAGAACAGUCGCUCUCUUGCAAGGAAAGUCAUCAUGACCUGCUUUUAUAAGCCAGCUCUCACAGAAUCAGUUCAUUCUAAAAGGGGAUGCAAAACAUUUCGCCAGAGCUGUAUUAUCCCAUUUUAUCUGAGUCCAAUAUGAAGUGAACUACUCUCCUGUUAUAAAAAUCAUACAAGCCAUCUCUCACCCACUAAGGCUGUAGGCAGGCAGACGAAGCCACUGAAACAACUUGACCUGACAGGGAACAAAGCCAGUCAGAACAACAAUGAAUUGAUUCAUCCCAGAUACAGGGAGCCCUGGAGACCGGAAAUGACACUGAGAGUGAUUCAUGAAAUCUGCUUUGCUGUAAUCCUAACUUGCUGUAUCCUCUUAGUUCAUAUUGUAUUUUAGCAGGAGGCUGUGUGGUCCAGCGCUUAAAGGAUCUUGAUACCAGGAGGUUCAAAUCCCGGCUCAGCCACUGACUCCCUGUGUGUGACCCUGAGCAAGUCACUGAACCUCCUUGUGCUCCGUCCUUCGGAUGAGACGCAAAACAAACGAGGUCCUAUUGGAAGUGACUCUGCAGCAGCAGCAGUUGUUGAUGAUGCAUAGUUCACCCCCUAGUCUCUGUAAGUCGCUUUGGAUAAAAGCCUCUGCUAAUUGACUAAAUAAUAAUAAUAAUAAUAUUGCACUUAUUGUAAACUACACUGUAUUUAAAUAUGAAGCUUGCAUUGUAACCCUGUGCUGCCCUGUAACACCUGUGUGAGUCGCCUGGGAUAAAGGCGUCUGCCAAAUAAAUUAAUAAAUAAAUACUAAUAAUAUUAAUAGAGAGUUAAACCUCCCUCAGUAAAAACGCCAUUUGACCCCUAAUAAAAGUUUAUUUUUUGAA